UACGGAGGGGGCAAGCGUUGUCCGGAAUCAUUGGGCGUAAAGAGCGUGUAGGCGGCCCGGUCAGUCCGCCGUGAAAGUCCAGGGCUCAACCCUGGAAUGCCGGUGGAUACUGCCGGGCUGGAGUCCGGAAGAGGCGAGUGGAAUUCCUGGUGUAGCGGUGAAAUGCGCAGAUAUCAGGAGGAACACCGAUGGCGAAGGCAGCGCGCUGGGACGGUACUGACGCUGAGACGCGAAAGCGUGGGGAGCAAACAGG
rnacentral:rRNA from 1 species